GAACCCUUGGCACAGUGGUAGCGCGUGAGAUUCCAGGCAGUGGAGCAAUCCACUCAAGGGGAUUCCUCAAGGUCGUCCGUUCGAUCCGGGCAGGGUUCA